GGGGCGGCUACCAUGCAGUCGAGCGGGGGAAGGUAGCUUGCUACCGGACCUAGCGGCGGACGGGUGAGUAAUGCUUAGGAAUCUGCCUAUUAGUGGGGGACAACAUCUCGAAAGGGAUGCUAAUACCGCAUACGUCCUACGGGAGAAAGCAGGGGAUCUUCGGACCUUGCGCUAAUAGAUGAGCCUAAGUCGGAUUAGCUAGUUGGUGGGGUAAAGGCCUACCAAGGCGACGAUCUGUAGCGGGUCUGAGAGGAUGAUCCGCCACACUGGGACUGAGACACGGCCCAGACUCCUACGGGAGGCAGCAGUGGGGAAUAUUGGACAAUGGGGGGAACCCUGAUCCAGCCAUGCCGCGUGUGUGAAGAAGGCCUUAUGGUUGUAAAGCACUUUAAGCGAGGAGGAGGCUACUUUAGUUAAUACCUAGAGAUAGUGGACGUUACUCGCAGAAUAAGCACCGGCUAACUCUGUGCCAGCAGCCGCGGUAAUACAGAGGGUGCGAGCGUUAAUCGGAUUUACUGGGCGUAAAGCGUGCGUAGGCGGCUUAUUAAGUCGGAUGUGAAAUCCCCGAGCUUAACUUGGGAAUUGCAUUCGAUACUGGUGAGCUAGAGUAUGGGAGAGGAUGGUAGAAUUCCAGGUGUAGCGGUGAAAUGCGUAGAGAUCUGGAGGAAUACCGAUGGCGAAGGCAGCCAUCUGGCCUAAUACUGACGCUGAGGUACGAAAGCAUGGGGAGCAAACAGGAUUAGAUACCCUGGUAGUCCAUGCCGUAAACGAUGUCUACUAGCCGUUGGGGCCUUUGAGGCUUUAGUGGCGCAGCUAACGCGAUAAGUAGACCGCCUGGGGAGUACGGUCGCAAGACUAAAACUCAAAUGAAUUGACGGGGGCCCGCACAAGCGGUGGAGCAUGUGGUUUAAUUCGAUGCAACGCGAAGAACCUUACCUGGCCUUGACAUACUAGAAACUUUCCAGAGAUGGAUUGGUGCCUUCGGGAAUCUAGAUACAGGUGCUGCAUGGCUGUCGUCAGCUCGUGUC
rnacentral:rRNA from 1 species